UACGAAGGGAGCUAGCGUUGUUCGGAAUCACUGGGCGUAAAGCGCACGUAGGCGGAUGUGUCAGUCAGGGGUGAAAUCCCGGAGCUCAACUUCGGAACUGCCUUUGAUACAGCACGUCUUGAGUCCGAUAGAGGUGGGUGGAAUUCCUAGUGUAGAGGUGAAAUUCGUAGAUAUUAGGAAGAACACCGGUGGCGAAGGCGGCCCACUGGAUCGGUACUGACGCUGAGGCGCGAAAGCUAGGGGAGCGAACGGG
rnacentral:rRNA from 1 species